rnacentral:lncRNA from 1 species
GUGAAACUGCAAAAGUAACGUUAGCAACUUUUACAAAAGACUGCAUGACGGAAUCAUGGCAACGAUUUAGUUUAUCUGGGCUGAGCGAUAGAAAAGACCAGUGGCGGAACCAUGUGGAGAGUGGGUGAUUUUUUUUUGUGUAAUUUUGCUUAGAAUUUUAUUGAUGCCUUAGAUGAAAAUUUGAAUUUAUAAAUAUACUAGGGCCAGCCCGCCAUACGGGCGAGAUAUAAUUUACUUGCGAUCUAGUUUAUUAUUUUUUGUAUGAUUUUGUGGUUUGUGUUUUAGGUUUGCAUUUGCAAAAAAAUUGUAUGAUAAUAAUUUUUAUCUUUAAAAGGUUAGUUGCAAGCAUUUGUGUUGACAUGGACCAUGUUGAGUUAGAUAUGGAUUUCUUUUGGGUUUGUUAGUAUGAUUGUGUGUGUGUUUAUUAUUUACUACUCCCUCUGUUCCCGAA